AACGAACGCUGGCGGCGUGUUUAAGACAUGCAAGUCGCACGGGAUAAGACAUGUAGUAAUACUUGUUUUAUUUAGUGGCGCACGGGUGAGUAACACGUGAAUUACAUGCCAUAUAGUGGGGAAUAGCCCAGGGAAACCUGGAUUAAUACCCCAUGUUACAGAAAGAUUAAAGGUGGCCGCAAGGCGGUCGCUAUAGGAUUGGUCCGCGCCCUAUCAGUUUGUUGGUGAGGUAACGGCUCACCAAGGCAAUGACGGGUACCUGGUCUGAGAGGACGAUCAGGCACACUGGAACUGAGACACGGUCCAGACACCUACGGGUGGCAGCAGUCGAGAAUAAUUCACAAUGGGGGCAACCCUGAUGGUGCAACGCCGCGUGGAGGAUGACGGUCUUCGGAUUGUAAACUCCUGUCAUCUGGGAGAAAGACCUGACGGUAAAUAGCCGGCAGGGUUGAUAGUACCAGAAGAGGAAGGGACGGCUAACUUCGUGCCAGCCGCCGCAGUAA
rnacentral:rRNA from 1 species